UACGGAGGGGGCGAGCGUUGCUCGGAAUUACUGGGCGUAAAGCGCGUGUAGGCGGCCUUUUAAGUUCGGUGUGAAAGCCCGGGGCUCACCCCCGGAAGUGCAUCGAAUACUGGGAGGCUAGAGUACCGGAGAGGAGGGUGGAAUUCCUGGUGUAGCGGUGAAAUGCGUAGAUAUCAGGAGGAACACCGGUGGCGAAGGCGGCCCUCUGGACGGAUACUGACGCUGAGACGCGAAAGCGUGGGGAGCAAACAGG
rnacentral:rRNA from 1 species